rnacentral:rRNA from 1 species
UACGGAGGAUCCAAGCGUUAUCCGGAUUUAUUGGGUUUAAAGGGUGCGUAGGUGGCUUUUUUUAAGUCAGGGGUGAAAGACGGUAGCUUAACUAUCGCAGUGCCUUUUUGAUACUGAAGAGCUUGAAUGAACUAGAGGUAGGCGGAAUGUGACAAGUAGCGGUGAAAUGCAUAGAUAUGUCACAGAACACCAAUUGCGAAGGCAGCUUACUAUGGUUUUAUUUGACACUGAGGCACGAAAGCGUGGGGAUCAAACAGG